CAGUCGCCACGGUAAUACAGAGGGUGCGAGCGUUAAUCGGAUUUACUGGGCGUAAAGCGUGCGUAGGCGGCUAAUUGAGUCGGAUGUGAAAUCCCCGAGCUUAACUUGGGAAUUGCAUUCGAUACUGGUUAGCUAGAGUGUGGGAGAGGAUGGUAGAAUUCCAGGUGUAGCGGUGAAAUGCGUAGAGAUCUGGAGGAAUACCGAUGGCGAAGGCAGCCAUCUGGCCUAAUACUGACGCUGAGGUACGAAAGCAUGGGGAGCAAACAGGAUUAGAUACCCCUGUAGUCCCUGUCUCUUAUAC
rnacentral:rRNA from 1 species